CCCGCCCCCAGGUGUCAGACCCCGCCCCCUCCAUUACAUCACUGAUCUACAAGAACAUGGACAGGUGGAAACGGGUCCGGCAGCGGUGGCGGGAGGCCGCCCAGCGGCAGCAGCAGCGCUACGGGCCCAGCCUGAGGCUGCUGCGCAUCAUCUACGAGCGGCAGUGAGGCCACGCCCACCCGGGCCACGCCCCCACGGCCACACCCACCACGGCCACGUCCCCACAAAUAAAAACCACGCGUGUCCAUA